rnacentral:rRNA from 1 species
AGAAUCAACGCUGGCGGCGUGCCUCAGACAUGCAAGUCGUACGAUUAAAGCUCUCUUCGGAGAGUGCAUAAAGUGGCGUACGGGUGAGUAACACGUAAGUAAUCUACCUUUGAGUGGGGAAUAACAGUCGGAAACGACUGCUAAUACCGCAUAAUGCAGCGGCACCUAAUGGUGACAGUUGUUAAAGCGGGGGAUCGAAAGACCUCGCGUCUGAAGAGGAGCCUGCGGCGGAUUAGCUAGUUGGUAAGGUAAUGGCUUACCAAGGCUACGAUCC